CUACGGAGGGUGCAAGCGUUAAUCGGAAUUACUGGGCGUAAAGCGCGCGUAGGCGGUUUGAUCAGUCGGAUGUGAAAGCCCUGGGCUCAACCUGGGAACUGCAUUCGAUACUGUCAGACUAGAAUAUGGUAGAGGGUAGUGGAAUUCCUGGUGUAGCGGUGAAAUGCGUAGAUAUCAGGAGGAACAUCAGUGGCGAAGGCGGCUACCUGGACCAAUAUUGACGCUGAGGUGCGAAAGCGUGGGGAGCAAACGGGAUUAGAAACCCUAGUAGUCC
rnacentral:rRNA from 1 species